rnacentral:misc_RNA from 1 species
UUAAACGUUACUUCAUUUUCGCCGCGGAGAGUUGCCUCUCGUUGACUUUAGAAUGAGUUCGUAAACAAGAUGUUUGGAUUUUAGUCGCACUUUCGAGAAAGUGGAAGAAAAUAAAUGUUUGUUUGGACCUGUCUGCCCGGUUAAAGGCCGACGAGAUCAAAAAGUGUGGAAUAAAUUCCGCGGGUCUCACGAGGCAACCGGCCGUGAAGCCGGUCGCCAAGCUUUAGUUUGAGGUGUGGUAAUGAUCCUUCCGCAGGUUCACCUACGGAAA